rnacentral:rRNA from 1 species
GCAAGUCGAACGAGACCUUCGGGUCUAGUGGCGCACGGGUGCGUAACGCGUGGGAAUCUGCCCUAGGUUCGGAAUAACUUCGGGAAACUGAAGCUAAUACCGGAUGAUGACGUAAGUCCAUAGAUUUAUCGCCUAAGGAUGAGCCCGCGUUGGAUUAGCUAGUUGGUGAGGUAAAAGGCUCACCAAGGCGACGAUCCAUAGCUGGUCUGAGAGGAUGAUCAGCCACACUGGGACUGAGACACGGCCCAGACUCCUACGGGAGGCAGCAGUGGGGAAUAUUGGACAAUGGGCGCAAGCCUGAUCCAGCAAUGCCGCGUGCAGGAUGAAGGCCUUCGGGUUGUAAACUGCUUUUGUACGGAACGAAACGGUGAGCUCUAAUACAGUUUGCUAAUGACGGUACCGUAAGAAUAAGCACCGGCUAACUACGUG